rnacentral:rRNA from 1 species
UUGAACGCUGGCGGCAUGCCUUACACAUGCAAGUCGAACGGCAGCAUAGGAGCUUGCUCCUGAUGGCGAGUGGCGAACGGGUGAGUAAUAUAUCGGAACGUGCCCUAGAGUGGGGGAUAACUAGUCGAAAGAUUAGCUAAUACCGCAUACGAUCUACGGAUGAAAGUGGGGGAUCGCAAGACCUCAUGCUCGUGGAGUGGCCGAUAUCUGAUUAGCUAGUUGGUGGGGUAAAAGCUCACCAAGGCGACGAUCAGUAGCUGGUCUGAGAGGACGACCAGCCACACUGGGACUGAGACACGGCCCAGACUCCUACGGGAGGCAGCAGUGGGGAAUUUUGGACAAUGGGGGCAACCCUGAUCCAGCAAUGCCGCGUGAGUGAAGAAGGCCUUCGGGUUGUAAAGCUCUUUUGUCAGGGAAGAAACGGUUGUGGCUAAUAUCCACGGCUAAUGACGGUACCUGAAGAAUAAGCACCGGCUAACUACGUGCCAGCAGCCGCGGUAAUACGUAGGGUGCGAGCGUUAAUCGGAAUUACUGGGCGUAAAGCGUGCGCAGGCUGUUUUGUAAGACAGAUGUGAAAUCCCCGGGCUCAACCUGGGAACUGCAUUUGUGACUGCAAGGCUAGAGUGUGUCAGAGGGGGGUAGAAUUCCACGUGUAGCAGUGAAAUGCGUAGAUAUGUGGAGGAAUACCGAUGGCGAAGGCAGCCCCCUGGGAUAACACUGACGCUCAUGCACGAAAGCGUGGGGGAGCAAACAGGAUUAGAUACCCUGGUAGUCCACGCCCUAAACGAUGUCAACUAGUUGUUGGGACUUAAUUGUCUUGGUAACGCAGCUAACGCGUGAAGUUGACCGCCUGGGGAGUACGGUCGCAAGAUUAAAACUCAAAGGAAUUGACGGGGACCCGCACAAGCGGUGGAUGAUGUGGAUUAAUUCGAUGCAACGCGAAAAACCUUACCUACGCUUGACAUAUACGGAAUCCUGAAGAGAUUUGGGAGUGCUCGAAAGAGAGCCGUAACACAGGUGCUGCAUGGCUGUCGUCAGCUCGUGUCGUGAGAUGUUGGGUUAAGUCCCGCAACGAGCGCAACCCUUGUCAUUAGUUGCUACGAAAGGGCACUCUAAUGAGACUGCCGGUGACAAACCGGAGGAAGGUGGGGAUGACGUCAAGUCCUCAUGGCCCUUAUGCGUAGGGCUUCACACGUCAUACAAUGGUACAUACAGAGGGUUGCCAACCCGCGAGGGGGAGCUAAUCUCAGAAAGUGUAUCGUAGUCCGGAUUGAAGUCUGCAACUCGACUUCAUGAAGUUGGAAUCGCUAGUAAUCGCGGAUCAGCAUGUCGCGGUGAAUACGUUCCCGGGUCUUGCACACACCGC